rnacentral:rRNA from 1 species
AUUGAACGCUGGCGGCAGGCCUAACACAUGCACGUCGAGCGGAGCGACGGACGGGUGAGUAAUGCCUAGGAAUCUGACUGGUAGUGGGGGAUAAGGUCCGGAAACGGGCGCUAAUACCACAUACUAUCAGAUGAGCCUAGGCAGGAUUAGCUAGUUGGUGUGGUAAAGGCCUACCAAGGCGACGACCCGUAACUGGUCUGAGUGGGUGAUCAGUCACACUGGAAAUGAGACACGGGCCAGACUCCUACGAGAGGCAGCAGUUGGGAAGAUUGGACAAUGGGCGAAAGCCUGAUCCAGCCAUGCCGCGUGUGUGAAGAAGGUCUUCGGAUUGUAAAGCACUUUAAGUUAGGAGGCGUUACCAGCAGAAUAAGCACCGGCGAACUUCGUGCCAGCAGCCGCGGUAAUUG